GACGAACGCUGGCGGCGUGCCUAAUACAUGCAAGUCGAGCGAAUCGAUGGGAGCUUGCUCCCUGAGAUUAGCGGCGGACGGGUGAGUAACACGUGGGUAACCUGCCUGUAAGACUGGGAUAACUUCGGGAAACCGGAGCUAAUACCGGAUACUUUCUUUUCUCGCAUGAGGGAAGAUGGAAAGAUGGUUCUGCUAUCACUUACAGAUGGACCCGCGGCGCAUUAGCUAGUUGGUGAGGUAACGGCUCACCAAGGCAACGAUGCGUAGCCGACCUGAGAGGGUGAUCGGCCACACUGGGACUGAGACACGGCCCAGACGCCUACGGGAGGCAGCAGUAGGGAAUCUUCCGCAAUGGACGAAAGUCUGACGGAGCAACGCCGCGUGAGCGAAGAAGGCCUUCGGGUCGUAAAGCUCUGUUGUUAGGGAAGAACAAGUACGAGAGUAACUGCUCGUACCUUGACGGUACCUAACCAGAAAGCCACGGCUAACUACGUGCCAGCCGCCGCGGUAAUAC
rnacentral:rRNA from 1 species